rnacentral:rRNA from 1 species
GACGAACGCUGGCGGCGUGCUUAACACAUGCAAGUCGAACGGAAAGGCCCUGCUUUUGUGGGGUGCUCGAGUGGCGAACGGGUGAGUAACACGUGAGUAACCUGCCCUUGACUUUGGGAUAACUUCAGGAAACUGGGGCUAAUACCGGAUAGGAGCUCCUGCUGCAUGGUGGGGGUUGGAAAGUUUCGGCGGUUGGGGAUGGACUCGCGGCUUAUCAGCUUGUUGGUGGGGUAGUGGCUUACCAAGGCUUUGACGGGUAGCCGGCCUGAGAGGGUGACCGGCCACAUUGGGACUGAGAUACGGCCCAGACUCCUACGGGAGGCAGCAGUGGGGAAUAUUGCACAAUGGGCGGAAGCCUGAUGCAGCAACGCCGCGUGCGGGAUAACGGCCUUCGGAUUGUAAACCGCUUUCGCCUGUGACGAAGCGUGAGUGACGGUAAUGGGUAAAGAAGCAGCGGCUAACUACGUG